UCUGAACGGAAUGUUUUUCAUUAAAAAACACCAUACGCGUUUGAAAGAGCAUUCUAUUAGGCUCUCUUCUAGUGCUGUAGGCCAACAUUUUUCUGCAUGUGAACAUGCACAAUUUUUAGCUACUCUACAAACAAGAAAACGUUAAAACGUCAUCAAAAAAUUCCUUAUCCACUUGAAAAAAAAAUCUGGUGACGGAGCUGGCCGCAGGGAUGGGCGGCCCCGCCCAACCGGGGUGGAACAUUUUGGGAUGGAACACGCAAUUUGGGGGUAUACUGGGAUAUUGGAUAUGCCAAAUUGCGGGAAAAUUCGAAAUCCACGCGGGAUUGCUCUUAUGGCAGUGUUAUUUUGGAGGAUUUUUAACUCGAACUUCACAGGUCGAACUUUAUCGCAGUUAAAUGUAUUUUAUGAAAAGAAAAUUUAUAUUCUGAUUCGGAAUAGGGAUUAAAAAAAAAUUGACGAGAAAUUUGAUGCAACGACCGUCGGACACAAGUGAAAAUGGCUCGGUGGCGAUCGAAGGUGGACAGCAAGAUCAAAGCUCAGCAAGAUUGAAGAUUGUUCGAGGAAGAAGGAGUUCGCCGUUGACUAAAAGUUGUAUAUAGGUUUAUCUGAAGAGCUAGUUGUCAAGAUGAAGGUGAAGACUCGCCCGGCCAAAUUCAAAAUGGCGAUGCCAAAGAAAACCAUCCACGUGGACCGUUCGCUGACCUUUCUGAGCAAGAUUAUUGUG